GUGCCAGCAGCCGCGGUAAUACGUAGGGGGCAAGCGUUAUCCGGAUUUACUGGGUGUAAAGGGAGCGUAGACGGCCACGCAAGUCUGAAGUGAAAUGCCAGUGCUCAACACUGGAACUGCUUUGGAAACUGCUUGGCUGGAGUGCAGGAGAGGUAAGUGGAAUUCCUAGUGUAGCGGUGAAAUGCGUAGAUAUUAGGAGGAACACCAGUGGCGAAGGCGGCUUACUGGACUGUAACUGACGUUGAGGCUCGAAGGCGUGGGGAGCA
rnacentral:rRNA from 1 species